UUGAGUUUUACUACAACAACAUUGUGUCCUUUUUUUAAUAGGGGACCAAGGUGGGAGUACUGCUUCAUGUGGCAGGUGGUGGUUGUGCCAGCACCAUGGACAAUGCUGGAUUCACCAUCCAUUUGGUGUAUUUUUUUAACAAACCUACAACCUGAAAGAUCAUGCUGGUGAUGAGCAUUCGAGUUCAAGACUGAUGAGAAGCAACUGAUGUAGGGCUUCACAUAUGUCAUGCUAGCCCCAACAAGACGCAUUCGAGUUCAAGAUUGAUGAGAAGCAAUUGAACCGAGGGGCUUCACAUAUGUCAUGCUAGCCUGAACAAGGUGGCGAUGAGGUGACUUUCAACGCCGUGUUGCCUAGUAGGAUGAAAAUGAGUCAUCAAAACCCCAGUGGAAUUAUUAUACCAAAAAAUAUUUACGGUGAGUCAUGUACAUCACUAAAUGUUUGAUGAAUAAUUCCUUCAUUUUAUUUACAGUCUUGUUAGGCCUUGCUCACAUUUAUUCUAUGGGAACAUGCGGCUAUGCCAGUCUCCCUCAAAAAACACGAGGCUAUGUCAGUCAAUCUUACGUCGUGUAGUCAGACAAUAUAAUAAUCAUGCAAAGUCUUAUGUUGUGUAA